UGCAACAGAAAACUCAGAUUGGACAGAUACGGUCAUGGCCAAAAGUGUUGGCACCCCUGAAAUUUUUCCAGAAAAUCAAGUAUUUCUCACAGAAAAGUAUUGCAUUAACACAUGUUUUGCUAUACACGUUUAUUCCCGUUGUGUGUAUUGGAA